rnacentral:tRNA from 1 species
GGAUAGCUCAGUGGUAGAGCAUCAGACUUUGGCUCUGACGGCGGGGGUUCGAAUCCCCCUCCA